rnacentral:rRNA from 1 species
GAUGAACGCUGGCGGCGUGCCUAAUACAUGCAAGUCGAGCGAACAGACGAGGAGCUUGCUCCUCUGACGUUAGCGGCGGACGGGUGAGUAACACGUGGAUAACCUACCUAUAAGACUGGGAUAACUUCGGGAAACCGGAGCUAAUACCGGAUAAUAUAUUGAACCGCAUGGUUCAAUAGUGAAAGACGGUUUUGCUGUCACUUAUAGAUGGAUCCGCGCCGCAUUAGCUAGUUGGUAAGGUAACGGCUUACCAAGGCAACGAUGCGUAGCCGACCUGAGAGGGGGGCGGCCCAACCGGGACCGAGCAACCGGCCAAAAUCCCAAGGGGGGGAGCAGGUGGGGAACUUUCCGCAAGGGGGGAAAGCCGAACGGGGCACCGCCGGGGGGGUGAGAAGGGUUUUGGGUUCGUAAACCCCUGUUUUUAGGGAAAAAAAAAGGUGUAAGUAAUUUUGCCCGUUUGAAGGGAACCAAAUAAGAAACCCCCGCUAAAUUCGUG